UGGCGCAGUUGGUAUCGCAUGGUGCUUACAAUGCCAAGGUUGUGGGUUCAAUUCCCGC
rnacentral:tRNA from 1 species